AUUGAACGCUGGCGGCAUGCCUUACACAUGCAAGUCGGACGGCAUCGCGGGGGCGACCCUGGCGGCGAGUGGCGAACGGGUGAGUAGACUGUCGGAACGUACCCGGUAGAGGGGACAACCCAGCGAAAGCUGGGCUAAUACCGCAUAAGAUCCGAGGAUGAAAGCGGGGGACCUGCGAGGGCCUCGCGCUACCGGAACGGCCGACACCUGAUUAGCCAGUUGGCGGAGUAAAAGCCCACCAAAGCGACGAUCAGUAGCUGGUCUGAGAAGACGACCAGCCACACCGGAACUGAGACACGGUCCGGACUCCUGCGGGAGGCAGCAGUGGGGAAUCCUGGACAAUGGGCGCAAGCCUGAUCCGGCAAUGCCGCGUGAGCGAAGAAGGCCCUCGGGUUGUAAAGCUCUUUAGCCGGGGAAGAAAGGCACCUUCUAAAAGAGGGUGUUGCUGACAGUACCCGGAAAAUAAGACAACCGGCUGACUACAUGCCAGCAGCCGCGGUAA
rnacentral:rRNA from 1 species